GACGAACGCUGGCGGCGUGCCUAAUACAUGCAAGUAGAACGCUGAAGAGAGGAGCUUACUCUUCUUGGGUGAGUUGCGAACGGGUGAGUAACGCGUAGGUAACCUGCCUUGUAGCGGGGGAUAACUAUUGGAAACGAUAGCUAAUACCGCAUAACAAUGGAUGCCACAUGGCAUUUUUUUGAAAGGGGCAAUUGCUCCACUACAAGAUGGACCUGCGUUGUAUUAGCUAGUAGGUGAGGUAAUGGCUCACCUAGGCGACGAUACAUAGCCGACCUGAGAGGGUGGUCGGCCACACUGGGAACGGGAACCGGCCCAGACUCCUUCGGGGGGCAGCAGGAGGGAAUCCUCGGGAAUGGGGGGAACGCUGGCCGAGCAACGCCGCGUGAGUGAAGAAGGGUUUCGGAUCGGAAAGCUCUGUUGUAAGUCAAGAAAGGGUGUGAGAGUGGAAAGUUCACACUGUGACGGUAGCUUACCAGAAAGGGACGGCUAACUACGUG
rnacentral:rRNA from 1 species